GAGCUACUCCCUCCGUCCUGAAAUAAGUGACGUGGAUUUGUAUAGAUUCUUAUACAAAUCCAUGUCACUUAUUCUUAUACAAAUCCACGUCACUUAUUUUGGGACGGAGGGAGUAUAUU
rfam:Brachypodium distachyon strain Bd21 chromosome 1, whole genome shotgun sequence.